CUCCUGGGAUUAUAUAGUUGAGAUGGAUUUUAAAACCCAAGACUGAGUUAGUUAGUACUGAGCAGUGAGUACAUCAAACAAACACCCUAGAGAAUGUGUGGAAAAAAGCAGAGCUCUGUAUUGUAUCCCUAAUGAGAAUUAGGCAGUGCUUAACAGGAACCCUUGCUUUAUGCACUAGGCUAUCCUGUUAUCUUGUACACUUAAAAUUAGUAUCAGGCCCUUUCUUUGACAGUGCUCUGAAGAACACAAAGUGCAUGGAGGAUAUUUUUGUGUGUAAAAGUUGAAAAGAUAACCGUCUGUAGAGAAUGAAAAGCCAUAUUAGAGGCUUGGGAAGCAGGCUGGAACAGAAAGUAAAAAAUCUCUACUGGGCCAGAUUUUAUCAAAAGUGGAUGUGUCUCUCACCGAGAGGUGGUGAGCUGUAUAAGAGUGUUUUGUUGAUUCUCAAUCCCAAACUUUCUCAUGUUUGAAUUAUUAACGUAGUACUGGCUGUUCAAAGAACUCGUCUUAACUGUUAAUCUAAAACUGAUAGAUAGGAAGCAGUGGUUCAGAGGAGGUGGCAGUGCUGCUCUGUUCUGCUGUAGUGAGCCUGUAAGCAGAUUAUGUUGCAGAAUAAAGAAAGGAAGUGCUUCUGUGUGGCUUCAGCUGUAUUGUUAGUGGUGAGGACUGAUAGCACAAUGUUCCUGUUCCUAUCCUUUGUUUGGGAAAAUGGAAAAUUACGCUAUUAGGGAAUAACAGGAAGCAUGUCUACACUUGGGUGAAAACUUGAAACGGUUUGUGUUUAGCAAAAUGGUAUCCAAUUAUUUUCCUGUACUUGGAGGCAUAUGACUGAGGCGCGUUUGCAAACUGCAGGCUUCAUAUUUUGUUCUUUUAUGGAGCGUGGGUUCAUCCAGCUCCAUGCCUCCAUGCAGGUCAGCCUUGAGGGGCCUGUUUAUAACUGUUCUCCAAAUAUCUCCAGUGACAAUUCUGCACAGCCCUUACUUGUACGUUCUGCCUUUCCUAGCUGUUCUCAUGGAUUGUGCAGAAGUGCCACAUGGAUGCAUAUUUGUCCAUCUCCAGUCAGGACUAUGACAAAGCCAGAUUUUUCCCCUACUUUUUAUUAAAAACAAAAACCUUGCCCUAAUGAAGGUUAACAGAGACUUAUUGUGCCUCUGGCUAUUCUGCAGUAUAUAAAGCACAUCAGUGAAGCAUUAGAGCCAGCUGUUGAUUAACCUGAUAGACCUGGAUUUGACCAUCUGUAACUGUGAUCCGUUUGUUGAGGCAGUUUGGAAAUAGGCAGUGCCUACCCAUGCUGGGUUGUCACAGAACUCCAGGUUCUGCAAGUAAGGGCUCAGUUUGCCACUUUGUUCAGGGCUGACUUCAGUAAUUCAGUACAAAGUUCUGCCUCUUUUUCCUCCAGGAUGCUUUCCCUACCCCCUUUCCCUCAGGCUUGGUUUGGGCCUGUUCUGGUGUUACCUAAGCAAAGUGUGUAUUAAAGGGUGGAGGUGUCAAAUGUGACAGAACGGGGUGCUGGGGAACUGCUUUGCAUUGAGGCUUCCUACAGAUACUCAAUCCUAGGGUUAGAGGAUGAGUUGACAAAAUAAAAAGGAGUUGUACCUAAACAAAUGGGUAAGGGUUGAACUUUGCUCCUGUUAUACUUCAUUAUUUUUGUAAUAGGCUUUCUUUCUGCUCAAUCCUUUCUUCAUUUCUUUCUGCCACUCACAACAGAGCUGCCACCUCCACCCUCUCUCCCUCUAUGAAAGCUUAAUGUCACCUAAAUUUUUACAAAUGUAACAAAAUCAAAAUCUGUACAAUGUGAGCACUUUUUGAGAAGUGCCUUUAAAUGUCUGUCUUCACUUCCUUUGUGCUUUUCAUUUGUUCCCUACCAUGGCACUGUGCUGUCACAGUGCCAGCAGUGCAGUGCAGUUUGCUUUCUUGAGCCCUUUGGUGGCCCCAGCCUGGAGAGAACUCAGCAUGAGUGGGAGCUGCUUACAGGGCAGUCAUGGAAUGCCAGGGACACCUCCCUUUUUCUUCAAGAUAUGUCCAAGUUCUCUUCACAGCACUUCAAACAUGAGAAGGACAAUUGUAAUCAACAGGCCAAUCCUUGCUUUUAUCCCCUUGGUCUCAGUUCCUUUCUUUUAUUAUUAGCCAAGACAAAAAGGUUACACGGUGGGAUGUUGUAGCAGAUUUGUUCAACUUGCAUUGUCCUCUCAGUGAACCUGCACAGUUGCCAAACUGUUUCCUUUACCUAAACUCCAGUUAUUCAGGUUGGUUUCUCCAGCCUGAGAAAAGUGAGGUGCAGACAGUCCUGUCUGCUCUUCUGCAACAAGCAAGAGUCUCUUGGGUCUUUUAAAACCAAAAAUCACUCAGAGAGGUGCUUGGGAUUGUGCUUCUCCAGCUUAAAGCUGGACUCGACUAAGGAAACAGAUCCAGCUUAGAUUUGCUCACUACAUUGCAUAAUUAAGUCUUUAUACAUG